GUAGGUGAACCUGCGGAAGGAUCAUUAAUGAAUUAAAUCGAAAGGGAGUUGUCGCUGGUCUCUCGAGGCAUCGUGCACGCUCUUCUUUCCUUCAUUCAUCUACCCCCAUGUGCACUUACUGUAGGCCGAGAAAUUCGGCCUAUGUAUUUUAUUACACCCCAUAAAAGUUUAAUGAAUGUUUCAAAUAAGAUCGAGGACGCGAGUC
rnacentral:misc_RNA from 1 species